AUCGUACCGGAGCGUUCUAAAACCGGUUGACCCAAGCUAUAUGGUUUUAAUUAAACGGGUCGGGUUUGCCCAUCUUCUCAUUCAAUCGCCGUCCGGAUCUCCAAGCCUUGUCUGACUCUCUCCGACGUCUCCGAUCAAUGAAGGUGAGGAAGAAGAAGAUCUUUUGAGUUAAGCAUUCGAGAGAAACCCCCAGCUUCAAUCUCAUGGAGUUGAUCCUCUCAUAAAGAUGAUCCUUAAGAAUGGAUGAUCAGUCAUGAUCUUCAAAGUCUUGACAGGCAGUAUGUUUGAUCAGAUGCAUCCAGCCAAAGCCAGCUCAGUGGCAUAGUGUUGCAGUGCACAACCAAGUGUUUGGCUCUUGGCGCGUGUUAACAAACUCGCAUUUGUAGAUAUAAAGACCAGACCAGUAGACAAAGCAUCCAUUGCAGCUCAUCGGUUUAUGUUGAGGGGGAUAUAUAGACUAGACCAGCAGUGAAGUGAAGACUGUUCUUGUGUUCAUAUAGUGAUGGUAUGCAGAAUACAUAUGUCCCUUUUUUACUCUCUUCUGAGUAUAUUGUUUAAUCUAUGAUCAUCUGUUUGUUAUUGACUUAUGCUCUGGUUAUGUUAAAAGUUUAUGUUCCAUUGAAUAGAUUGUGACUUUGUGUUAUUGUGUA